UUUGAAAUUGAAAUUCAAACCUAAAUCAAUCUCUGCUCUCUCUCCCUGAACCGCCUCAUUCAUCUCCUUUUUCAAUCAAAACCCUAAUUCCCCCCCCCCCCUCUCUCUCUGGCGAACAUGGCGACGAAGAAGAGCAAAGACAUCGAUUGGAGUUGCAGAUGCUAUUCCGAUUAAAUUAGGGUUCCAGUCAAACUUCGCCACCCUGAUUUACUAUUGUAUGCUUCAUAUAUGUGUAGAUCCACAAACCCUAAGGCAUUUCAUCAAACAGUUAGAGUGCAUGUUAAAUUAUGUGUGAUGUGUUUAAUCUGUGUGUAGGAGAAAGCUCCUUAUUUUGCAAAGGCAGCUAGAAAGAAAGCAGAGUAUGAAAUUGAUAUUAAACAGCACAUUGAUAAUCUGAACGAAACUGCGAUGGAGAUAUCUAGAACAUCAUCUAUGAACACUAAUGAGGAUGUUGAGCUGGAAGUUAACUCUCAGAUUGUGAAGGUCCUGUGAUAAGUGAAGUGUAGGACGAAGUUCCUUCACUGGAAAAGUUUCCAGAUAUAGAAGGUGGUAAGAUUCCUGGUGAAUUAAUCUUAAGCAACGGAGAUAUAUUGCUUAACGCGGGAAGGGAGGCUGUAAAAAUCAACGUAACUAAUGAUGGAGAUAGACCAAUACAGGUUGGCAGCCAUUAUCAUUUCAUUGAGGUCAAUCCAACUUUGAUUUUUGAUCGAAGAAAAUCAUAUGGCAUGAGGUUAAAUAUACCAGCAGGAACAGCUGCCCGGUUUGAGGAAAUUAUUACUCUGUCCCAAAGGGAACAAAUGUGGGAGCAAAAAAGUAAAGGUACACAUUUGUCAAUAUUUUUAGGUGCACCUGAUGUUGCUUCACCAUCCUCAUAAUUGGAAAGUUUAUACGCCAUUCAAGUUGCGGCUUAAAAGUCAGUAUUGACAGUGAUAUAGAGAAAGGUAACUUUUUUUUUUUUGAAUAGCAAACGGGACUUCAUUUAACCAAACAAAACCGAAAGCUUCCAGCCAGGAACUGAGAGCCAACAACUGUCAAUACAAAAUGAAAGAAAAACAGAACAAGUUUACAUCGAAUUUAUUAUGUGUUGAAAUUGAAAUCCCACCAUUGUUGUCGCGAAAUAGCUUUAAACCUUGAUCUUUCUUUCAUGUAUUGGUAUGAUUCUUCCUUUAUAUCUUCAAUCACACUUUGGAUCA